UACGUAGGUGGCAAGCGUUGUCCGGAUUUACUGGGCGUAAAGAGCGCGCAGGCGGUCGAGUAAGUCGAAUGUGAAAGCCCCCGGCUCAACUGGGGAGGGUCACGCGAUACUGUUCGACUCGAAGGCAGGAGAGGGUAGUGGAAUUCCCGGUGUAGUGGUGAAAUGCGUAGAUAUCGGGAGGAACACCAGUGGCGAAGGUGACUACCUGGCCUGUUCUUGACGCUGAGGCGCGAAAGCUAGGGUAGCAAACGGG
rnacentral:rRNA from 1 species